UUCACACCAUGGUACUUGGAGACUGGCCAUU
rnacentral:piRNA from 1 species